rnacentral:rRNA from 1 species
AGUCGAACGAUUAACCCAAACUUCGGUUUGGUUAUAAAGUGGCGAACGGGUGAGUAACACGUGACCAACCUGCCUUCUAGAUCGGGAUAACUCAAGGAAACUUGUGCUAAUACCGGAUACUCCGGAGCAAUCGCAUGGUAGCUCCGGGAAAGCUUUUGCGCUAGAAGAUGGGGUCGCGGCCUAUUAGGUAGUUGGUGGGGUAGAGGCCUACCAAGCCUGCGAUAGGUAGCCGGGUUGAGAGACUGAUCGGCCACAUUGGGACUGAGAUACGGCCCAGACUCCUACGGGAGGCAGCAGUGGGGAAUUUUGCGCAAUGGGGGCAACCCUGACGCAGCAACGCCGCGUGCGGGAUGAAGGUCUUCGGAUUGUAAACCGCUUUCAGUAGGGAAUAAGUAUGAAGGUACCUACAGAAGAAGCACCGGCUAAAUACGUGCCAGCAGCCGCGGUAAUACGUAUGGUGCAAGCGUUAUCCGGAAUCAUUGGGCGUAAAGCGCGCGUAGGCGGCUUGUUAAGCAGGAAUUUAAAUCUUAGGGCUCAACCUUAAGUCGGUUCCUGAACUGGCAGGCUCGAGUGCGGUAGAGGAAGGUGGAAUUCCCAGUGUAGCGGUGAAAUGCGCAGAUAUUGGGAAGAACACCGAUGGCGAAGGCAGCCUUCUGGGCCGCCACUGACGCUGAGGCGCGAAAG